rnacentral:rRNA from 1 species
CCUACGGGUGGCAGCAGUGAGGAAUAUUGGUCAAUGGGCGCGAGCCUGAACCAGCCAAGUAGCGUGAAGGAUGACUGCCCUACGGGUUGUAAACUUCUUUUAUAAAGGAAUAAAGUGAGGCACGUGUGCCUUUUUGUAUGUACUUUAUGAAUAAGGAUCGGCUAACUCCGUGCCAGCAGCCGCGGUAAUACGGAGGAUCCGAGUGUUAUCCGGAUUUAUUGGGUUUAAAGGGAGCGUAGGUGGAUUGUUAAGUCAGUUGUGAAAGUUUGCGGCUCAACCGUAAAAUUGCAGUUGAAACUGGCAGUCGUGAGUACAGUAGAGGUGGGCGGAAUGCGCGGUGUAGCGGUGAAAUGCAUAGAUAUCGCGCAGAACUCCGAUUGUGAAGGCAGCGUACCGGCGCCGGACUGACGCUGAGGCACGAAAGCGUGGGUAUCGAACAGGAUUAGAUACCCCAGUAGUC